CUACGGGUCGCUGCAGUGGGGAAUAUUGCACAAUGGAGGAAACUCUGAUGCAGCAACGCCGCGUGGAGGAUGACACAUUUCGGUGCGUAAACUCCUUUUAUAUGGGAAGAUAAUGACGGUACCAUAUGAAUAAGCACCGGCUAACUCCGUGCCAGCAGCCGCGGUAAUACGGAGGGUGCAAGCGUUACUCGGAAUCACUGGGCGUAAAGCGCGCGCAGGCGGCCUUUUAAGUUGGAUGUGAAAGCCUAUGGCUCAACCAUAGAACUGCAUCCAAAACUAUCAGGCUAGAGUGUGGGAGAGGAAGAUGGAAUUAGUUGUGUAGGGGUAAAAUCCGUAGAGAUAACUAGGAAUACCAAAAGCGAAGGCAAUCUUCUGGAACAUUACUGACGCUGAGGCGCGAAAGCGUGGGGAGCAAACAGGAUUAGAUACCCCUGUAGUC
rnacentral:rRNA from 1 species